rnacentral:tRNA from 1 species
GUCGAUAGGGUGUAUUUGUAGCAUGGUGAUUUUUCGUGUCUCCGGUUUCUGUUGUAGAAUUUCGAUA